rnacentral:rRNA from 1 species
AUGAACGCUGGCGGCGUGCCUCAUACCUGCCAGUCGCGCGAACAGACGAGGAGCUUGCUCCUCUGACGUUAGCGGCGGACGGGUGAGUAACACGUGGAUAACCUACCUAUAAGACUGGGAUAACUUCGGGAAACCGGAGCUAAUACCGGAUAAUAUAUUUAACCGCAUGGUUCAAUAGUGAAAGACGGUUUUGCUGUCACUUAUAGCUGGAUCCGCGCCGCAUUAGCUAGUUGGUAAGGUAACGGCUUACCAAGGCGACGAUGCGUAGCCGACCUGAGAGGGUGAUCGGCCACACUGGAACUGAGACACGGUCCAGACUCCUACGGGAGGCAGCAGUAGGGAAUCUUCCGCAAUGGGCGAAAGCCUGACGGAGCAACGCCGCGUGAGUGAUGAAGGUCUUCGGAUCGUAAAACUCUGUUAUUAGGGAAGAACAAAUGUGUAAGUAACUAUGCACGUCUUGACGGUACCUAAUCAGAAAGCCACGGCUAACUACGUG